rnacentral:rRNA from 1 species
GACAGAGGGUGCAAACGUUGUUCGGAAUUACUGGGCGUAAAGCGCGUGUAGGCUGCUUCGCAAGUCGGAUGUGAAAGCCCUGGGCUCAACCUAGGAAGUGCACUCGAAACUGCGAAGCUUGAGUCCUGGAGAGGAAGGCGGAAUUCUCGGUGUAGAGGUGAAAUUCGUAGAUAUCGAGAGGAACACCGGUGGCGAAGGCGGCCUUCUGGACAGUGACUGACGCUGAGACGCGAAAGCGUGGGGAGCAAACAGG